UCCGUAGGUGAACCUGCGGAAGGAUCAUUACAGUAUGAAUAGAGGGAUGGUGCUGGCCCCUUUGGGGGCAUGUGCACGCCUUCAAUUUCAAUCCACAUACACCUGUGCACCACGGACGAGUUUUGGACUCCACUGUGUAAUUCAGUGAGUCGUUUCUUGGGGGGGAUAUACUAUAUAUGAUAUACCCUUCAAGGAACUGAGUCUGGACUCUGUCUAUUUUCAUUACACUAAUGCCUGUAUAAAAUGCAUGUAUUUUGGCUCUACGGAGCUCUAAAUAAAAUACAACUUUCAACAACGGAUCUCUUGGCUUCCGCAUCGAUGAAGAACGCAGCGAACGUGCGAAACGUAAUGUGAAUUGCAGAAUUCAGUGAAUCAUCGAAUCUUUGAACGCAUCUUGCACUCCUUGGUAUUCCGAGGAGUAUGCCUGUUUGAGUGUCGUGAAUACUCUCAAACUUGACCUUUUCUUAAUUGAAAUGGGGUCAUAGUUUGGACUUGGAUGCUGCUGCGUUGGCCUUAGGGUCGGUUGCGGCUCGUCUCGAAAUGCAUUAGCUGGUCGACUCUUGGUCUAUAAAAGCUAUCAACGGUGUGAUAAGAAACAAUUCAAUUUGUUGAUUGUAGCGCUGUUGUUUAUGGACCGUGUCAAUGACUGCUUCUAAUAGUCCAUUAAGUUGGACAAUAGAUUUAUUUUCAUGUCAUCUGACCUCAAAUCAGGUAGGACUACCCGCUGAACUUAAGCAUAUCAAUAAGCGGAGGAAAAGAAACUAACAAGGAUUCCCCUAGUAACGGCGAGUGAAGCGGGAAGAGCUCAAAUUUGAAAUCUGGCGGUCUACGGCCGUCCGAGUUGUAAUCUAGAGAAGUGUUUUCCGUGCUGGACCGUGUACAAGUCCCUUGGAAGAGGGCGUCAUAGAGGGUGAGAAUCCCGUCUUUGACACGGACUACCAGUGCUCUGUGAUGCACUCUCGAAGAGUCGAGUUGUUUGGGAAUGCAGCUCAAAUUGGGUGGUAAAUUCCAUCUAAAGCUAAAUAUUGGCGGAAGACCGAUAGCGAACAAGUACCGUGAGGGAAAGAUGAAAAGCACUUUGGAAAGAGAGUUAAACAGUACGUGAAAUUGUUGAAAGGGAAACGCUUGAAGU
rnacentral:sRNA from 1 species